rnacentral:rRNA from 1 species
UACGAAGGGGGCUAGCGUUGCUCGGAAUCACUGGGCGUAAAGCGCACGUAGGCGGAUUGUUAAGUCAGGGGUGAAAUCCUGGAGCUCAACUCCAGAACUGCCUUUGAUACUGGCGAUCUUGAGUCCGGGAGAGGUGAGUGGAACUGCGAGUGUAGAGGUGAAAUUCGUAGAUAUUCGGAAGAACACCAGUGGCGAAGGCGGCUCACUGGUCCGGUACUGACGCUGAGGUGCGAAAGCGUGGGGAGCAAACAGGG